AGAGAAAGUUAGUUUCCGGGUUUGGAAAGUAUAUAUAAGUAGAAAAAUGUGUGGGAGUUAUUUUUUUGAAGCCCUAAAGUUGCAGCAGCCAGUUUCCAGUUCUCUCUCCUCUCUCCCGACUCUCUCACGCUCUCAUUCUUCUCCGGUUGAUUUCUCCCUCAUCCGACCACCAAAUUGGACGCCGCCGGUUCCGUUGGACUCGUACGGACGCCCUCUCCAUUUCUGGGGCAGUCUUGCUUGCCGUCUCGCCGCCUAGGAGCCGCCACGGAGCAGCAAAGCUGCUGCUGUCUCGCCGGAAAACCGGCGAUUUCGGCGGCAACGAGAGGCUAACUUAGGUGAGUCUGGUUCCUCUCAUCCUUCUAGUAGUGGCUAGGCAUAGAUUGAAGUAUGUUUAUGAGUUGUUGAGCCCGAAUUUGCAGAUUUAAGGUUGUUUUCGUGGUGGAAGUUGCGGGGCAGUUUCGGGCAGUUUCUGGCCAAAAUUGUUUAAAACCUCAGGUAUUAAAGUUGCUCUCCAUGCUUCAAUCUACAAGUUUCAUGUUUUGAGUUUUCUCAAAUUCGGAAGUUUGGGGUGGCGCGUGAGGCCCACUCGCCGCCGCCUGUGGCGGCGCGUCCGGUUGAGUUGCAGCCCUAGUUUCCUGUGGUUAGGUAGUCCUUACUGCUGUGAGCUUGUUGAGUGGUAGUGUGGCUAGUUUUAAGAAAUGUUGGCAUGCUAGAACGUUAAGUGUGAUUUUAGGUUUGUUGGAGGUUUGAGUUAGGAAUGGAGGAUUAGAGGCAGCCUUUGUGGGUCUCUAAGUUCGACGACGUUGGAAAGUUGUCACCUCUUGAAUUAAGGGUUAGUUAAGGGUAUUGUGUUAACCUAUAGUAUUUUAGUUACUAAGGUUUUAAUUGUGCUAUUUUUAGGUGAUUUGUGAAGUUGAGUUGGUUUACCUUGGUCGGUUGUGGAAUUUGCAGCGGGAGAUUUAGGUGAGUAAACCUCACCAAGGUUCACUUUUGAACCUAAGGAUAUUAUGGUUAUAUAAUGAUAAUGAUGGUGAUGUUGGUUUUAAUAUCAUGCUUUUAAUUGUUUUAAAAUUUCAUGAGCUUGAUCGCCAACGGCUCAUAGGUAAGAUAAAACAAGUUUUCUUUAUAUUGUGAUGUUGAGAAUAAUGAUGUGAUUUAUAUAUUAUGUUGUUGAGAAUAAUAAUUGUGAUCUUGUGUUGUUGUGGAUAAUGUUGUGAAAAUUUUUGUGCUUGUUGGAUAAAUAGCCAAACCGGGUUCCAAGCCCUUUUUGGGUGAUUGGUUGCGGUUAAGAUGCUAUUUAUCAUUUUUGUAUUGAUAUUAGACAGUCAAACCGGGUUCCAAGCCUUUGGCCGGGUGAUUGGUUACGGUUAGGAAUAGAGCUCUAGUCCGUCUGUCAGUGUAGGUCAUGGGAGAUACUAUAUGGUAUCUGGGACCCAUGGGUACACAUAGUGUUGUGGUAGGUCAUGAGAGGUAUUUUAUUAAAUAUCUGGGACUCAUGGGUACAUCUCUUGGGUAAUGUGUUUGAUGUGUGGUUUGAAUUUAUUGAUCCAAUCUCUCUUGUGAAUAUUGGAUGUGAUAAAUGUUGUGUUGUUUUUGAGUUUACUCAUAUGAGCUUUUUAGCUUACCGGGUUUGUUGUUUACAACCCGGCGCACCAUUUCUUGGUGUAGGGGUUAGACCUGCAGGUGAGGAUCAACAGGGUUGAGAUGGAGGCGUAGUGGCAGGUUUUUUUUUUGUUGUUGGGUUUUGAGUGUCUUUGUAUAUUCUUUUUAUAUACAUUGGGAUAUGAAUUAUUAAACUCAUGUGAACAUUCCCUUUCUUGUUCUCAAGUUAUGUAAACAAGGAAAUGUAAUAUUUAACUCAAUUUGGAGUUGUAUGUAAAUUUACAUUUCGCAUUGAGUUUAUUUUCCUUGAUUUUUGUUGAAACAGGUUUUGGGAUAUUAAUAUUUUAGGAUAUAUCAUGCCAAAAUUUUUGAAAUUUAUCUUUCGAAAAUUGGGGCGUGACACGCUCUCCUUUUGGCUUGAACACCCUGAGAAGUUCGCCACAUCCAGAGCCAUGUUACUUCAAAGAAACGUCAAGUCCAGCACAAAUUGAUAGCCUUUGGUUUUUUUUGAGUCACCGAUGAUCAUGAGUGUGUUCUGUCAAUCUCAUGGCAUGCCGCGCUUGAUAGUAUACCACAAAAAGAGUAAAAAUAAAAGUGAUACAGAUAUAGAGUGAUGAUGUGAUAACAAAAUAUAGUAAAGUCCAGAAUAAGACACAAUGAAAAGUCUCAUAAAUAGUUCUUAUGCGUAGAAAUUUUCUCUUGACAAAUUUCAAGAUCAGACAUGUCAUUAAGCAGAUCAGUGCAGAAGUAACUUAAAACUCCAGAAUUCCCAGAGCAUUUCUCAACGUUAAGAAUCUUUCAGUGUCCAAAGUUUUAGUAAACAGGUCAGCAAAUUGAGAUUCAGUAGGAACAAAAUUCAAUUCAAGAAUUUGCUUCUCAACUAAGUCCCUAAUGAAGUGAUAUCUGAGUUCUAUGUGCUUAGUCUUUGAGAGUAACACAGGAUUCUUAGUGAUACUAAUAGCACUGGUAUUGUCACAAAAAAUAGACAACUUACCUUGGGAAAUACCAUAGUCAGAGAGCAUUUGUUUAAGCCAAAGCAUUUGAGUACAACAAGAUCCAGCUGCUACAUAUUCAGCUUCAGUGGUGGAUAAGGAAAUGUAAUUUUGUUUCUUACUAUGCCAGGCCACCAUAUUGUUUCCUACAAAGAAACACCCUCCAGAAGUGCUUUUUCUAUCUUUCAAAUUUCCACCCCAAUCUGCAUCAGAGUAUGUAGCAAUUUCUGCAUUAGUAUCAAAAGUGUAAAAUAAACCACAACCUGUUGUUUCAGCAAUAUAUCUAAUAAUUCUUUUCACAGCUUCCAG
rnacentral:lncRNA from 1 species